rnacentral:rRNA from 1 species
UGCAACCCGCCUGUAUGAAGUUGGAAUCGCUAGUAAUCGCGGAUCAGCAUGCCGCGGUGAAUACGUUCCCGGGCCUUGUACACACCGCCCGUCACACCAUGAGAGUCGGGAACACCCGAAGUCCGUAGCCUAACCGCAAGGGGGGCGCGGCCGAAGGUGGGUUCGAUAAUUGGGGUGAAGUCGUAACAAGGUACC